GGUCUCCUGGUGCUUAACCAUAGGCUGUGUUCUUCACACGGACUAUAAGGAAAGAGGCGGCAUCAUAAACUCACCCCAUUACUCACUAGGCACAGGCCCUUUGCCUGGUCUAAUAUGAACUGGGGGGGGGGCG
rnacentral:snoRNA from 1 species